AGCCUGCAGGUGACGAGGACAC
rnacentral:miRNA from 1 species